rnacentral:tRNA from 1 species
GGGCGAUUAGCUCAAUUGGCAGAGUGUUUGGUUUACAUCCAAAAGGUUGCAGGUUCAAAUCCUGCAUCGCCCA